rnacentral:rRNA from 1 species
UGGGGAAUAUUGGACAAUGGGCGAAAGCCUGAUCCAGCCAUGCCGCGUGUGUGAAGAAGGUCUUCGGAUUGUAAAGCACUUUAAGUUGGGAGGAAGGGCAGUAAGCGAAUACCUUGCUGUUUUGACGUUACCGACAGAAUAAGCACCGGCUAACUCUGUGCCAGCAGCCGCGGUAAUACAGAGGGUGCAAGCGUUAAUCGGAAUUACUGGGCGUAAAGCGCGCGUAGGUGGUUCGUUAAGUUGAAUGUGAAAGCCCCGGGCUCAACCUGGGAACUGCAUCCAAGACUGGCGAGCUAGAGUAGGGCAGAGGGUGGUGGAAUUUCCUGUGUAGCGGAGAAAUGCGUAGAUAUAGGAAGGAACACCAGUGGCGAAGGCGACCACCUGGGCUCAUAAUGACACUGAGGUGCGAAAGCGUGGGGAGCAAACAGG